rnacentral:rRNA from 1 species
GUGGGGAAUCUUCCGCAAUGGACGAAAGUCUGACGGAGCAACGCCGCGUGAGUGAAGAAGGUUUUCGGAUCGUAAAGCUCUUUCGUUAGGGACGAACGUGCUCUUUGUGAAUAAUGAGGAGUAAUGACGGUACCUAAAUAAGAAGCCACGGCUAACUACGUGCCAGCAGCCGCGGUAAUACGUAGGUGGCAAGCGUUGUCCGGAAUUAUUGGGCGUAAAGCGCGCGCAGGCGGGAUAUCAAGUCUGUCUUAAAAGUGCGAGGCUCAACCUCGUGAGGGGACAGAAACUGGUAUUCUUGAGUGUCGGAGAGGAAAGUGGAAUUCCAAGUGUAGCGGUGAAAUGCGUAGAGAUUUGGAAGAACACCAGUGGCGAAGGCGGCUUUCUGGACGGUGUCUGACACUGAGGCGCGAAAGCUAGGGGAGCGAACGGGAUUAGAUACCCGGGUAGUCC